rnacentral:rRNA from 1 species
UACGUAGGGCGCAAGCGUUGUCCGGAAUUAUUGGGCGUAAAGAGCUCGUAGGCGGCUUGUCACGUCGGGUGUGAAAGCCCGGGGCUUAACCCCGGGUCUGCAUUCGAUACGGGCUAGCUAGAGUGUGGUAGGGGAGGUCGGAAUUCCUGGUGUAGCGGUGAAAUGCGCAGAUAUCAGGAGGAACACCGGUGGCGAAGGCGGAUCUCUGGGCCGAUACUGACGCUGAGGAGCGAAAGCGUGGGGAGCGAACAGG